rnacentral:rRNA from 1 species
GAUGAACGCUGGCGGCGUGCCUAAUACAUGCAAGUCGAGCGAACAGACGAGGAGCUUGCUCCUCUGACGUUAGCGGCGGACGGGUGAGUAACACGUGGAUAACCUACCUAUAAGACUGGGAUAACUUCGGGAAACCGGAGCUAAUACCGGAUAAUAUAUUGAACCGCAUGGUUCAUUAGUGAAAGACGGUUUUGCUGUCACUUAUAGAUGGAACCGCGCCGCAUUAGCUAGUUGGUAAGGUAACGGCUUACCAAGGCAACGAUGCGUAGCCGACCUGAGAGGGUGAUCAGCCACACUGGAACUGAGACACGGUCCAGACUCCUACGGGAGGCAGCAGUAGGGAAUCUUCCGCAAUGGGCGAAAGCCUGACGGAGCAACGCCGCGUGAGUGAUGAAGGUCUUCGGAUCGUAAAACUCUGUUAUUAGGGAAGAACAAAUGUGUAAGUAACUAUGCACGUCUUGACGGUACCUAAUCAGAAAGCCACGGCUAACUACGUG